AGAACGAACGCUGGCGGCAUGCCUAACACAUGCAAGUCGAACGAGACCUUCGGGUCUAGUGGCGCACGGGUGCGUAACGCGUGGGAAUCUGCCCUUAGGUUCGGAAUAACAGUUAGAAAUGACUGCUAAUACCGGAUAAUGACGUAAGUCCAAAGAUUUAUCGCCUAGGGAUGAGCCCGCGUAAGAUUAGCUAGUUGGUGGGGUAAAGGCCUACCAAGGCUACGAUCUUUAGCUGGUCUGAGAGGAUGAUCAGCCACACUGGGACUGAGACACGGCCCAGACUCCUACGGGAGGCAGCAGUGGGGAAUAUUGGACAAUGGGCGAAAGCCUGAUCCAGCAAUGCCGCGUGAGUGAUGAAGGCCUUAGGGUUGUAAAGCUCUUUUACCCGGGAUGAUAAUGACAGUACCGGGAGAAUAAGCUCCGGCUAACUCCGUGCCAGCAGCCGC
rnacentral:rRNA from 1 species